GACAGAGGGUGCAAACGUUGUUCGGAAUUACUGGGCGUAAAGCGCGUGUAGGCUGCUUCGCAAGUCGGGUGUGAAAGCCCUGGGCUCAACCUAGGAAGUGCACUCGAAACUGCGAAGCUCGAGUCCUGGAGAGGAAGGCGGAAUUCUCGGUGUAGAGGUGAAAUUCGUAGAUAUCGAGAGGAACACCGGUGGCGAAGGCGGCUUCCUGGACAGUUAUUGACGCUGAGACGCGAAAGCGUGGGGAGCAAGCAGG
rnacentral:rRNA from 1 species